rnacentral:rRNA from 1 species
GUGCCAGCAGCCGCGGUAAGACAGAGGAGCCAAGCGUUGUCCGGAUUGACUGGGCGUAAAGCGCACGCAGGCGGUCGUGCACGUGGGGUGUGAAAACUGGCGGCUUAACUGCCAGAGGCCACCUCAUACGGCGCGACUCGAGCCAUGCAGAGGUCCACGGAAUUGCCGGUGUAGUGGUGAAAUGCGUAGAGAUCGGCAGGAACACCCAGGGGGAAACCAGUGGACUGGGCAUGUGCUGACGCUCAGGUGCGAAAGCGUGGGGAGCGAACCGGAUUAGAUACCCGCGUAGUCC